UACGUAGGGCGCAAGCGUUGUCCGGAAUUAUUGGGCGUAAAGAGCUCGUAGGCGGCUUGUCACGUCGGGUGUGAAAGUCCUGGGCUUAACCUGGGGACUGCAUUUGAUACUGAUUGGCUUGAAUUCGGGAGAGGAUAGCGGAAUUCCCAGUGUAGAGGUGAAAUUCGUAGAUAUUGGGAAGAACACCGGUGGCGAAGGCGGCUAUCUGGACCGACAUUGACGCUGAGGCGCGAAAGCGUGGGGAGCAAACAGG
rnacentral:rRNA from 1 species